CCUACGGGUGGCAGCAGUGAGGAAUAUUGGUCAAUGGACGAGAGUCUGAACCAGCCAAGUAGCGUGAAGGAUGACUGCCCUAUGGGUUGUAAACUUCUUUUAUAAAGGAAUAAAACGAGGCACGUGUGCCUUUUUGUAUGUAAUUUAUGAAUAAGGAUCGGCUAACUUCGUGCCAGCAGCCGCGGUAAUACGGAGGAUCCGAGCGUUAUCCGGAUUUAUUGGGUUUAAAGGGAGAGUAGAUGGGUUGUUAAGUCAGUUGUGAAAGUUUGCGGCUCAACCGUAAAAUUGCAAUUGAUACUGGCAGUCUUGAGUACAGUUGAGGUAGGCGGAAUUCGUGGUGUAGCGGUGAAAUGCUUAGAUAUCACGAAGAACCCCGAUUGCGAAGGCAGCUUACUAAACUGUGACUGACAUUGAGGCUCGAAAGUGUGGGUAUCAAACAGGAUUAGAUACCCCUGUAGUC
rnacentral:rRNA from 1 species